GACGAACGCUGGCGGCGUGCUUAACACAUGCAAGUCGAGCGGAGCGGCGCACGGGUGAGUAACGCGUGAGUAACUGCCCCCCUCUCUGGGAUAACAGUUGGAAACGGCUGCUAAUACCGGAUAUUUGGGGAUGACUCGGGUCCUAUCAGCUUGUUGGUGGGGUAGUGGCCUACCAUGGCGACGCCGGGUAGCCGGCCUGAGAGGGCGACCGGCCACAUGAGUCUGAGAGACGACCCAAACGCCUACGGGAGGCAGCGGUGGGGAAUAUUGCACAAUUGGGGAAACUCUGAUGCAGCAGCGCCGCGGGCGGGAUGACGGCCUUCGGGUUGUGAACCGCUUUCAGCCAUGACGCGGUAGUGGCAGAAGAAGCACCGGCUAACUACGUGCCAGCAGCCGCGGUAAUUC
rnacentral:rRNA from 1 species